rnacentral:rRNA from 1 species
CAGUAGCCGCGGGAAUACGUAGGGUGCAAGCGUUAAUCGGAAUUACUGGGCGUAAAGCGCACGCAGGCGGUCUGACAAGUCAGAUGUGAAAUCCCCGGGCUUAACCUGGGAACUGCAUUUGAAACUGUCAGGCUGGAGUCUUGUAGAGGGGGGUAGAAUUCCAGGUGUAGCGGUGAAAUGCGUAGAGAUCUGGAGGAAUACCGGUGGCGAAGGCGGCCCCCUGGACAAAGACUGACGCUCAGGUGCGAAAGCGUGGGGAGCAAACAGGAUUAGAUACCCGAGUAGUCCCUGUCUCUUAUAC